UACGUAGGGUGCAAGCGUUAAUCGGAAUUACUGGGCGUAAAGCGUGCGCAGGCGGUUAUGCAAGACAGGUGUGAAAUCCCCGAGCUCAACUUGGGAACUGCACUUGUGACUGCAUAGCUAGAGUACGGUAGAGGGGAGUGGAAUUCCGCGUGUAGCAGUGAAAUGCGUAGAUAUGCGGAGGAACACCGAUGGCGAAGGCAG
rnacentral:rRNA from 1 species